rnacentral:lncRNA from 1 species
UACUAGAAAGAAGAGACUGUUUUAUGUGCAUACUACGUAUGCGAGUUCAUUCGCCUCUCGACCUCUGAGCGGGGCUUCUCCGAGAAACAAUUGAAAGUACGUAAAUAAUAUUCACAAUUUUAUUUUAUAUAUUACCAUCAAUUGUGUGGAGUUUUAUUCAUAUAUGUGCAUGUAUUGACCCCCUUCUUUAAAUUAGAUCGGACACAUGUGGGAUGAACUCCUACCACAUGAUCACAUACGAGCAAUUCAAGAGGAAUUGGCGGGAUUCUUUCUUGAUCACGGCAUACUUAAAGACGGAGAAUACCAUGCGGAUUUGUGAUUGGAUCUUAGGUAGAUGAUGUUAGGAUUGUAAAUAUGUUAUAUUGUAUAUAUGUAGUAGCGUCGGAUAGAUAUACGAAAACUUGUUGUUCGACCAAGCAUGGAGAAAGAGAUGUCGCUUCUCUCUAUAUGUAUAGUAGCUAGCGUCGACCAAGCACGGAGAAAGAGAGGACACUUUUCUCUAUUAGUUAGCUAACACAAUAUGAAACCCCUAAAUUGACCCUCCAAAACCCCCCCAUCCCCCCUUAAAAAACC